UACGUAGGGAGCAAGCGUUGUCCGGAAUCAUUGGGCGUAAAGCGCGCGUAGGCGGCCUCAUAAAGUCCGUUGUGAAAGUCAAAGGCUCAACCUUUGAAAGCCGAUGGAUACUGUGAGGCUAGAGUCCGGAAGAGGCGAGUGGAAAUUCCUGGUGUAGCGGUGGAAUGCGCAGAUAUCGGGGAGGAAUACCUAUGGCGAAAAGCAGGCUUCUGGGCUAUCACUGACGCUGAUCUGCGAAAAGCUAGGGGAGCAAACAGG
rnacentral:rRNA from 1 species